rnacentral:rRNA from 1 species
UUGUAUGGUUAAGUGACUAAGCGUACACGGUGGAUGCCUUGGCAGUCAGAGGCGAUGAAGGACGUAUUAACUUGCGAUAAGCCCAGAUUAGACAGUAAAAGUCAUUUGAGUCUGGGAUUUCCGAAUGGGGAAACCCACUUACAUAAGUAAGUAUCUUGUUGUGAAUACAUAGCAGCAAGAGGCAAACCGGGGGAACUGAAACAUCUAAGUACCCCGAGGAAGAGAAAUCAACCGAGAUUCCGAAAGUAGCGGCGAGCGAAAUUGGAUUAGCCCUUAAGCUUUUAAUGAGACAGACGAAGGCUCUGGAAAGUGCCGCAAUAAAGGGUGAUAGCCCCGUAGUCG